CAGCCGCCACGGGAAUACGUAGGGUCCGAGCGUUGUCCGGAAUUAUUGGGCGUAAAGAGCUCGUAGGCGGUCUGUCGCGUCUGCCGUGAAAUCCUCAGGCUCAACCUGAGGCGUGCGGUGGGUACGGGCAGGCUAGAGUGCGGUAGGGGAGAAUGGAACUCCUGGCGUAGCGGUGGAAUGCGCAGAUAUCAGGAAGAACACCGAUGGCGAAGGCAGUUCUCUGGGCCGUAACUGACGCUGAGGAGCGAAAGCGUGGGGAGCGAACAGGAUUAGAUACCCCAGUAGUCCCUGUCUCUUAUAC
rnacentral:rRNA from 1 species